ensembl:lncRNA
CCAGAGGAGGGAGGAGUAGUGAGCAUGCGCUCUCCAACCAAGGGAAGACGCCGGAGAGGAGGGAGGGCCUGGCAGAGGACGAGGGGCCGGAGAGCAGGCGCUGUGGUCACCAGGGGAUCUGGACGGAGAGCAGAUAAGAUAGCAGUCCUGGAGGAGAAAGCCCCUCUUCUCCCUUUUUACCUCGUGACUCUAGUGAGCCCGCAGCACCGAAAGUCACUGGUUGCUGGGACAAUGCCGACCAGGAGAGAGCUCUGGGAGAACAGUGCUGCUGGCUGGCUGCAGGAAAGCUUUCAAGAGGAGACAUUUGAUCUUCUUAAAGGAUCAGUUGGCAGGCUAGGGAUGAGGAGGGAGACAGCCUCACAGGCGUUCCAGCCUCAGGGAAUAUCCUGGCAGAGACUAAGAGCUGAAAAGCAAGGGAGGCAUUGACACACAUGGAGAAAAUGGAUUCAUUCUCAGCUUCCGUUAUCACCACGCUGUUUUUGAUUCCCCAAUCUGCAUGUCCUUUUUUCUCGACCAUAUGGCCAGAUACCUUUGUAGUUGAAAUAUUUAAGAUUCCUAUACCCCACUAUUUCCCAUUACCAUCCCCCACUCUUCCCUUAAUCAGGCAGCCAGACCAGAGGAUGACUAGAUAUCUAUUCCAUGGCAAAUAGAUGGGAAACAGUGGAAAGAGUGACAGACUUUAUUUUCUUGGGCACCAGAAUGACUGCAGCCAUGAAAUAAAAAGACGCUUCCUCCUUCAAAGGAAGGCUAUGACAAACCUAGACAGUGUAUUAAAAAGCAGAGAUGUUACUUUGCCGACAAAGGUCUGUCUAGUCAAAGCUAUGGUUUUUCCAGUAGUCAUGUAUGGAUGUGAGAGUUAUACCAUAAAGAAAGCUGAGCGCUGAAGAAUUGAUGUUUUUGAACUGUGGUGGUGAAGAAGACUCUUGAGAGUCCUUUGGACUGCAAGGAGAUCCAACCAGUCAAUCCUAAAGGAAAUCAAUCCUGAAUAUUCAUUGGCAGGAGUGAUGCUGAAGCUCCAAUACUUUGGCCACCUGACACGAAGGGCUGACUCAUUGGAAAAGACCCUAAUGCUGGAAAAGAUUGAAGGCAAGAGGAGAAGGGGACGAUAGAGGAUGAGAUGGCUGGAUGGCAUCACUGACUGAAUGGGCAUGAGUUUGAGCAAGAUCUGGGAGUUGGUGACAGACAGGGAAGCCUGGUGUGCUGCAGUCCAUGGGGUCAGAAAGGGUCGGACACAACUGAGCAACUGAACUGAGACCAGAGGACUUUCGAUGCCUCAAUUAGUAGAGGAAAAACUUUUGACACUUCAAAGU